GCCGGUGUAGCUCAGUUGGUAGAGCGCCUCACUUGUAAUGAGGAUGUCGUGGGUUCAACUCCUGUCACCGGCUCCA
rnacentral:tRNA from 6 species